rnacentral:lncRNA from 1 species
CAAAAGCGAGAAACGAGGUUGUUCGACAAGGCUACGGUCUAACUUUUUCUUCCUAGCGGAGUUCAAUACGAAAAUAAAGGCGCUCCGCGUUGGGAAUGGCAUACUACGUACGGGUGGUAUUUCAGGUAUAACUGAUCAGGGUUGUUCUGAAAGCAAGUCAAUUGGUGCUUUGGAAAGUGAGUGCCAGAGGCUAGUCACUGCUUGGUUUACAGAAGGGAAGGAAGAAAGAGAUACC